rnacentral:misc_RNA from 1 species
UGUGGGAGCGGGCUUGCCCGCGAUGCAGGCGCUGCGGUCUGGCUGACAGCCCGCGGUGAUGCUAUCGCGGGCAAGCCCGCUCCCACA